AUUGAACGCUGGCGGCAGGCUUAACACAUGCAAGUCGAGCGGAGAUGAGGUGCUUGCACCUUAUCUUAGCGGCGGACGGGUGAGUAAUGCUUAGGAAUCUGCCUAUUAGUGGGGGACAACAUUCCGAAAGGAAUGCUAAUACCGCAUACGUCCUACGGGAGAAAGCAGGGGAUCUUCGGACCUUGCGCUAAUAGAUGAGCCUAAGUCGGAUUAGAUAGUUGGUGGGGUAAAGGCCUACCAAGGGGACGAUCUGUAGCGGGUCUGAGAGGAUGAGCCGCCACACUGGGAAUGAGACACGGCCCAGACUCCUCCGGGAGGCAGCAGUGGGGAAUAUUGGAGAAUGGGGGGAACCCUGAUCCAGCCAUGCCGCGUGUGUUAAGAAGGCCUUAUGGUUGUAAAGCACUUUAAGCGAGGAGGAGGCUACUGAGACUAAUACUCUUGGAUAGUGGACGUUACUCGCAGAAUAAGCACCGGCUAACUCUGUGCCAGCCGCCGCCGUAAUAC
rnacentral:rRNA from 1 species